rnacentral:rRNA from 1 species
UACGAAGGGGGCUAGCGUUGCUCGGAAUUACUGGGCGUAAAGCGCACGUAGGCGGUCUUUUAAGUCGGGGGGUGAAAUCCUGGAGCUCAACUCCAGAACUGCCUUCGAUACUGGAAGACUUGAGUCCGGGAGAGGUGAGUGGAACUGCGAGUGUAGAGGUGAAAUUCGUAGAUAUUCGCAAGAACACCAGUGGCGAAGGCGGCUCACUGGUCCAUAACUGACGCUGAGGCACGAAAGCGUGGGGAGCAAACAGG